rnacentral:rRNA from 1 species
UUUAUGGAGAGUUUGAUCCUGGCUCAGGAUGAACGCUGGCGGCGUGCCUAAUACAUGCAAGUCGAGCGAACGGACGAGAAGCUUGCUUCUCUGAUGUUAGCGGCGGACGGGUGAGUAACACGUGGAUAACCUACCUAUAAGACUGGGAUAACUUCGGGAAACCGGAGCUAAUGCCGGAUAAUAUUUUGAACCGCAUGGUUCAAAAGUGAAAGACGGUCUUGCUGUCACUUAUAGAUGGAUCCGCGCUGCAUUAGCUAGUUGGUAAGGUAACGGCUUACCAAGGCAACGAUGCAUAGCCGACCUGAGAGGGUGAUCGGCCACACUGGAACUGAGACACGGUCCAGACUCCUACGGGAGGCAGCAGUAGGGAAUCUUCCGCAAUGGGCGAAAGCCUGACGGAGCAACGCCGCGUGAGUGAUGAAGGUCUUCGGAUCGUAAAACUCUGUUAUUAGGGAAGAACAUAUGUGUAAGUAACUGUGCACAUCUUGACGGUACCUAAUCAGAAAGCCACGGCUAACUACGUGCCAGCAGCCGCGGUAAUACGUAGGUGGCAAGCGUUAUCCGGAAUUAUUGGGCGUAAAGCGCGCGUAGGCGGUUUUUUAAGUCUGAUGUGAAAGCCCACGGCUCAACCGUGGAGGGUCAUUGGAAACUGGAAAACUUGAGUGCAGAAGAGGAAAGUGGAAUUCCAUGUGUAGCGGUGAAAUGCGCAGAGAUAUGGAGGAACACCAGUGGCGAAGGCGACUUUCUGGUCUGUAACUGACGCUGAUGUGCGAAAGCGUGGGGAUCAAACAGGAUUAGAUACCCUGGUAGUCCACGCCGUAAACGAUGAGUGCUAAGUGUUAGGGGGUUUCCGCCCCUUAGUGCUGCAGCUAACGCAUUAAGCACUCCGCCUGGGGAGUACGACCGCAAGGUUGAAACUCAAAGGAAUUGACGGGGACCCGCACAAGCGGUGGAGCAUGUGGUUUAAUUCGAAGCAACGCGAAGAACCUUACCAAAUCUUGACAUCCUUUGACAACUCUAGAGAUAGAGCCUUCCCCUUCGGGGGACAAAGUGACAGGUGGUGCAUGGUUGUCGUCAGCUCGUGUCGUGAGAUGUUGGGUUAAGUCCCGCAACGAGCGCAACCCUUAAGCUUAGUUGCCAUCAUUAAGUUGGGCACUCUAAGUUGACUGCCGGUGACAAACCGGAGGAAGGUGGGGAUGACGUCAAAUCAUCAUGCCCCUUAUGAUUUGGGCUACACACGUGC